GAUGAACGCUGGCGGCGUGCCUAAUACAUGCAAGUCGAGCGAACAGACGAGGAGCUUGCUCCUCUGACGUUAGCGGCGGACGGGUGAGUAACACGUGGAUAACCUACCUAUAAGACUGGGAUAACUUCGGGAAACCGGAGCUAAUACCGGAUAAUAUAUUGAACCGCAUGGUUCAAUAGUGAAAGACGGUUUUGCUGUCACUUAUAGAUGGAUCCGCGCCGCAUUAGCAAGUUGGUAAGGUAACGGCUUACCAAGGCAACGAUGCGUAGCCGACCUGAGAGGGUGAUCGGCCACACUGGAACUGAGACACGGUCCAGACUCCUGCGGGAGGCAGCAGUAGGGAAUCUUCCGCAAUGGGCGAAAGCCUGACGGAGCAACGCCGCGUGAGUGAUGAAGGUCUUCGGAUCGUAAAACUCUGUUAUUAGGGAAGAACAAAUGUGUAAGUAACUAUGCACGUCUUGACGGUACCUAAUCAGAAAGCCACGGCUAACUACGUG
rnacentral:rRNA from 1 species